CUUAUCAGUCAGGUACCUUCAUAUCACCCUUAUCAGUCAGGUACCUUCAUAUCACCCUUAUCACCCUUAUCAGUCAGGUACCUUCAUAUCACCCUUAUCAGUCAGGUACCUUCAUAUCACCCUUAUCACCCUUAUCAGUCAGGUA